rnacentral:tRNA from 1 species
GUAAAUAUAGUUUAAACAAAACAUUAGAUUGUGAAUCUAACAAUAGAGGUUCAUAUCCUCUUAUUUACC